UACGGAGGAUCCGAGCGUUAUCCGGAUUUAUUGGGUUUAAAGGGUGCGUAGGCGGAUUUGUAAGUCAGUGGUGAAAUCCUGCAGCUUAACUGUAGAACUGCCAUUGAUACUGCAAAUCUUGAGUAGAUAUGAUGUGGGCGGAAUGUGCAGUGUAGCGGUGAAAUGCUUAGAUAUUGCACAGAACACCGAUUGCGAAGGCAGCUCACAAAACUCUAACUGACGCUGAGGCACGAAAGCGUGGGGAGCAAACAGG
rnacentral:rRNA from 1 species